rnacentral:tRNA from 1 species
GCACCCAUAGCUCAAUUGGAUAGAGCGUCUGGCUACGGACCAGAAGGUUAGGGGUUCAAAUCCCUUUGGGUGUA